CCUACGGGAGGCAGCAGUGAGGAAUAUUGGUCAAUGGACGGGAGCCUGAACCAGCCAUGCCGCGUGAAGGCGAGUGCCCUACGGGCGUUAAACUUCUUUUGUGCGGGAGCAAUAAGGGCCACGCGUGGCCCGAUGAAAGUACCGCACGAAUAAUCAUCGCUUAACUCAGUGCCCGCAGCCGCGGUAAUACGAGGGAUGCGAGCGUGAUCCGGAUUUAUUGGGUGUAAAGGGUGCGUAGGCGGCGCUUCAGCUCAGCGGUGAAAUACCGGGGCUCAACCCCGGGGCUGCCGUUGAAACCGGAGCGCUAGAAUGCCGAUGCGGUCGGAGGAAUGUGUGGUGUAGCGGUGAAAUGCAUAGAUAUUACACAGAACACCGAUUGCGAAGGCAUCUGACGAAUCGGAGAUUGACGCUGAUGCACGAAAGCGUGGGGAUCGAACAGGAUUAGAUACCCCGGUAGUC
rnacentral:rRNA from 1 species